GUUUCUGACAAAAAGGACCUGAAAAAUCACUGAUUCUAGAAUAGGGGAGUGUCAAGGGGAGUUCAUACCCAUGAAUCUCCACCGGUAGGAAUAUCUUGCAUGCCAGGAUGUCUGGAAUGCUGAGAAUUAUAGGAUACAGAAAGGAACCUGGAUUACUAGGAAAUCUAGAGAAUGGGAGAGAUCCUGGACUAUCCGCCCUUCCAGAGCACUGGAAGGUUUGUUUGCGUUCCAAGAAAUCCAUAAUGGCAGGAGAUUCCGGAUUAUCAGAGAAUCUGGAACACAAAUGGGAGACGUAAAAGCGUUGCUGUUUGUCGCUGCUGCCCGGGCCAGACGUCUAGGAGGAGCCGCUGCAUCCGAGCCUUCUGCAGGGUCCGAAGCUGCCAGCCCAAAAAGUGUGCAGGCCCCCAGCGGUGCCUGAACCCAGUGCCUGCAGUGCCCAGUCCCAGCCCCAGCGUGAGGAAGAGACAGGUGUCCCUCAACUGGCAGCCACUGACGCUCCAGGAGGCCAGAGCUCUACUGAAGCGGCGGCGGCCCCGGGGGCCAGGGGGCCGGGGACUACUGAGAAGGAGGCCCCCACAGCGUGCCCCCGCUGGCAAGGCCCCGGUCCUGUGUCCCUUGAUCUGUCACAAUGGCGGUGUGUGCGUGAAGCCUGACCGCUGCCUCUGUCCCCCGGACUUCGCUGGCAAGUUCUGCCAGUUGCACUCCUCGGGCGCCCGGCCCCCG
rnacentral:lncRNA from 1 species